rnacentral:rRNA from 1 species
UACGGGGGGGGCAAGCGUUGUUCGGAAUUACUGGGCGUAAAGGGCUCGUAGGCGGCCAACUAAGUCAGACGUGAAAUCCCUCGGCUUAACCGGGGAACUGCGUCUGAUACUGGAUGGCUUGAAUCCGGGAGAGGGAUGCGGAAUUCCAGGUGUAGCGGUGAAAUGCGUAGAUACCUGGAGGAAUACCGGUGGCGAAGGCGGCAUCCUGGACCGGCAUUGACGCUGAGGAGCGAAAGCCAGGGGAGCAAACGGG